rnacentral:rRNA from 1 species
GACGAACGCUGGCGGCGUGCUUAACACAUGCAAGUCGAACGGAAAGGCCCUGCUUUUGUGGGGUGCUCGAGUGGCGAACGGGUGAGUAACACGCGAGUAAUCUGCCCUUGACUUUGGGAUAACUUCAGGUAACUGGGGCUAAUACCGGAUAGGAGCUCCUGCUUCUUGGUGGGGGUUGGAAAGUUUCGGCGGUUGGGGAUGGACUCGCGGCUUAUCAGCUUGUUGGUGGGGUAGUGGCUUACCAAGGCUUUGACGGGUAGCCGGCCUGAGAGGGUGACCGGCCACGUUGGGACUAGGAUACGGCACAGACUCCUACGGGAGGCAGCAGUGGAGAAUAUUGCACGAUGGACGGAAGCCUGAUACAACAACGCCGCGUGCGGGAUGACGGCCUUCGGGUUGUAAUCCGCUUUCGCCUGUGACGAAGCGUGAGUGACGGUAAUGGGUAAAGAAGCACCGGCUAACUACGUG